rnacentral:rRNA from 1 species
UACGGAGGGUGCAAGCGUUAUCCGGAUUCACUGGGUUUAAAGGGUGCGUAGGUGGGCAGGUAAGUCAGUGGUGAAAUCUCCGGGCUUAACUCGGAAACUGCCAUUGAUACUAUCUUUCUUGAAUACCGUGGAGGUCAGCGGAAUAUGUCAUGUAGCGGUGAAAUGCUUAGAUAUGACAUAGAACACCAAUUGCGAAGGCAGCUUACUACGGAUACAUUGACACUGAGGCACGAAAGCGUGGGGAUCAAACAGG